UACGUAGGUGGCAAGCGUUGUCCGGAGUUAUUGGGCGUAAAGCGCGCGCAGGCGGUUGGAUAAGUCCAUGGUGAAAGCGCCUGGCUCAACUAGGCGAGUGCCGUGGGGACUGUUCAGCUGGAGUGGAGCAGAGGCGAGUGGAAUUCCGGGUGUAGUGGUGAAAUGCGUAGAGAUCCGGAGGAACACCAGAGGCGAAGGCGGCUCGCUGGGCUUUGACUGACGCUGAGGCGCGAAAAGCGUGGGGAGC
rnacentral:rRNA from 1 species